UUUGAAACUGACGCCAAAGGGCACCAUCAACACAGAGAGACAAUCUUUAGAGCAUCGUUGGACUGUGCCUAAACUGCAAAUUCUUGGAAUCACCCUGCUGGUGCUGGCCUUGUCACAAAGCACAGCCUGGGAAAGGAGCAUUCCAGAAGAGUAUGUCAGUGAACCCACCAGGGGGCACUACGUGACCAGAAAAUAACCCCAAAACACC
rnacentral:lncRNA from 1 species